ensembl:snRNA U4 U4 spliceosomal RNA
AGCUUUGUGCAGUGGCAGUAUCGUAGCCAAUGAGGUUUAUCCGAGGAGCAAUUAUUGCUAAUUGAAAAUGAGGCAGAGACCCUCCUUCUACUGUAACUUUGCCCUUCUCACUCUAUUUUCAGUAACAAGGAUGAAGAGAAGUAUAAAAGGAAAAAAGGAAACAACAUC